CCGUUAAUUGAUUAUGACGUACUUGUACUGAUUGAGAUUUUAACACGAAGUGAGUGGCGAACGGGUGAGUAACACGUGGGUAACCUGCCCAGAAGUAGGGGAUAACACCUGGAAACAGAUGCUAAUACCGUAUAACAGAGAAAACCGUAUGGUUUCUUUUAAAAGAUGGCUUCGGCUAUCACUUUUGGAUGGUCCCGCGGCGUAUUAGCUAGAUGGUGGGGUAACGGCUCACCAUGGCAAUGAUACGUAGCCGACCUGAGAGGGUAAUCGGCCACAUUGGGACUGAGACACGGCCCAAACUCCUACGGGAGGCAGCAGUAGGGAAUCUUCCACAAUGGACGAAAGUCUGAUGGAGCAAUGCCGCGUGAGUGAAGAAGGGUUUCGGCUCGUAAAACUCUGUUGUUAAAGAAGAACACCUUUGAGAGUAACUGUUCAAGGGGUUGACGGUAUUUAACCAGAAAGCCACGGCUAACUACGUGCCAG
rnacentral:rRNA from 1 species